rnacentral:rRNA from 1 species
GUUGAACGCUGGCGGCAUGCCUUACACAUGCAAGUCGAACGGUAACGCGGGGCAACCUGGCGACGAGUGGCGAACGGGUGAGUAAUAUAUCGGAACGUGCCCAGUAGUGGGGGAUAGCCCGGCGAAAGCCGGAUUAAUACCGCAUGAGACCUGAGGGUGAAAGCGGGGGAUCGCAAGACCUCGCGCUAUUGGAGCGGCCGAUAUCAGAUUAGGUAGUUGGUGGGGUAAAGGCCUACCAAGCCGACGAUCUGUAGCUGGUCUGAGAGGACGACCAGCCACACUGGGACUGAGACACGGCCCAGACUCCUACGGGAGGCAGCAGUGGGGAAUUUUGGACAAUGGGCGCAAGCCUGAUCCAGCCAUGCCGCGUGCGGGAAGAAGGCCU